rnacentral:lncRNA from 1 species
CACUGGUCCAUUGCGCCUCCACAAGUAUAAAAUAUGUCUUUUAGAACAAGGCUGUUGCUGACAAUAAUGAAGAUUCAUUUAUCAUAGUUAGAUAUUAUCCACAGUAACCAUGGUGAUUUGCAUCGAAAUAUUAUUUCUUUUACCGCCUUAUCUUAACAUUUUGGUUUUAUUUACUAGAGACCGAUGGCUUCACAUUCUCACAUGACAUAACUUACUUCCGUUUCCGCUAGAAUCUGUUUGACACGGGCGAAUAACAAUAACGUGCUUCUGCUGUUUUCACGGACAUUUGAUUAACGGAUGACUUUGGCAUGAAACAACUUUUUUAAGUUUGGAUACAUCUGGAAUAUUUACCAUCUUUUUCAAGACCAAAGGAAAAUGUUUUAAAGAACAGAUAUAAACUGCUAUUAAUCUAGGGUUGAAUUACUGUGAAAUAUUUUCCCUAAGCUGAGAUUCAUAGCAACAUUUCUCCCUCUUAUCACAUGGUGCUUUUGCAUUCUAAUUAAACUUGAAUAUAUU